GACGAACGCUGGCGGCGUGCCUAAUACAUGCAAGUCGAGCGAAGUUUUUCUGGUGCUUGCACUAGAAAAACUUAGCGGCGAACGGGUGAGUAACACGUAAAGAACCUGCCUCAUAGACUGGGACAACUAUUGGAAACGAUAGCUAAUACCGGAUAACAGUAUUUCUCGCAUGAGAGAUAUUUAAAAGUUGGUUAUGCUAACACUAUGAGAUGGCUUUGCGGUGCAUUAGCUAGUUGGUGGGGUAAAGGCCCACCAAGGCGACGAUGCAUAGCCGACCUGAGAGGGUGAUCGGCCACACUGGGACUGAGACACGGCCCAGACUCCUGCGGGAGGCAGCAGUAGGGAAUCUUCCGCAAUGGGCGAAAGCCUGACGGAGCAACGCCGCGUGAGUGAAGAAGGAUUUCGGUUCGUAAAGCUCUGUUGUUAGGGAAGAAUGGAUAUGUAGUAACUAUACAUGUAAGAGACGGUACCUAACCAGAAAGCCACGGCUAACUACGUG
rnacentral:rRNA from 1 species